rnacentral:misc_RNA from 1 species
AACAAGGCGUACCUGCGGACCUGCGGAGGGAUCAUUACAGAGUUGCAAAACUCCCUAAACCAUUGUGAACCUACCUUCUACCGUUGCUUCGGCGGGCGGGCCUAGCGCCCCCCCGGCCCCCCGCGGGCGCCCGCCGGAGGAUAACCAAACUCUUGACAUCAGUGGCCUCUCUGAGUAUUCUUUACUGAAUAAGUCAAAACUUUUAACAAUGGAUCU